CUUGUCCUCCUUUGUAAGUCGCUUUGGAUAAAAGUGUCUGCUAAAUUACUAAAU
rfam:Danio rerio chromosome 16, GRCz11 reference primary assembly.